ACAGCAGUAGCCGCGGUAAUACGGAGGAUCCAAGCGUUAUCCGGAAUCAUUGGGUUUAAAGGGUCCGUAGGCGGUCUUGUAAGUCAGUGGUGAAAGCCCAUCGCUCAACGGUGGAACGGCCAUUGAUACUGCAGGACUUGAAUUAUUGGGAAGUAACUAGAAUAUGUAGUGUAGCGGUGAAAUGCUUAGAGAUUACAUGGAAUACCAAUUGCGAAGGCAGGUUACUACCAAUUGAUUGACGCUGAUGGACGAAAGCGUGGGUAGCGAACAGGAUUAGAGACCCCAGUAGUCCCUGUCUCUUAUAC
rnacentral:rRNA from 1 species